UUGGUGCCCUAAAUAGGGACUUGUAUGAAUGGCCACACGAGGGCUUUACUGUCUCUUACUUCCGAUCCGUGAAAUUGACCUUCCCGUGAAGAGGCGGGAAUAUGACAAUAAGACGAGAAGACCCUAUGGAGCUUUAAUUAACCGACCCAAAGAGAUCUUAACAACUAACCGAUAGGGACAACAAACCUCUACCGUGGGUCGACAAUUUAGGUUGGGGUGACCUCGGAGAAUAAAACAACCUCCGAGUGAUUUAAAUCUAGACUAACCAGUCGAAAGUACUACAUCACUUAUUGAUCCAAAAACUUGAUCAACGGAACAAGUUACCCUAGGGAUAACAGCGCAAUCCUAUUUUAGAGUCCAUAUCGACAAUAGGG
rnacentral:rRNA from 1 species